UACGUAGGGGGCGAGCGUUGUCCGGAGUUACUGGGCGUAAAGGGCGUGUAGGCGGAUCGGUAAGUCUACUCUGAAAGCUCCUGGCUAAACUGGGAGAGGCGAGUGGAGACUGUCGGUCUAGAGUGAGGAAGGGGAAAGUGGAAUUCCGCGUGUAGUGGUGAAAUGCGUAGAGAUGCGGAGGAACACCAGUGGCGAAAGCGGCUUUCUGGUCCUUAACUGACGCUGAGGCGCGAAAGCAUGGGGAGCGAACGGG
rnacentral:rRNA from 1 species